UCUAGGAAGGAUCAUUGUAUUGUUGUAGACUAGUCUAGGGAGGAUCAUUGUAUAGUUGUAGACUAGUCUAGGGAGGAUCAUUGUAUUGUUCCAGACUAGUCUAGGGAGGAUCAUUGUAUUGUAGUAGACUAGUCUAGAGAGGAUCAUUGUAUUGUUGUAGAGUAGUCUAGGGAGGAUCAUUGUAUUGUAGUAGACUAGUCUAGAGAGGAUCAUUGUAUUGUUGUAGAGUAGUCUAGGGAGGAUCAUUGUAUUGUUGUAGACUAGUCUAGGGAGGAUCAUUGUAUUGUUGUAGACUAGUCUAGGGAUGAUCAUUGUAUUGUUGUAGACUAGUCUAGGGAGGGUCAUUGUAUUGUUGUAGACUAGUCUAGGGAGGAUCAUUGUAUUGUUGUAGACUAGUCUCGGGAGGAUCAUUGUAUUGUAUUGUUGUAGACUAGUCUCGGGAGGAUCAGUGUCUUGUUGUAGACUAGUCUCGGGAGGAACAUUGUAUUGUUGUAGACUAGUCAAGGGAGGAUCAUUGUAUUGUAUUGUUGUAGACUAGUCUCGGGAGGUUCAUUGUAUUGUUGUAGACUAGUCUAGAGAGGAUCAUUGUAUUGUAUUGUUGUAGACUAGUCUAGUGAGGAUCAUUGUAAUGUAUUGUUGUGGUCUAGUGAGAAUCAUUGUAUUGUAUUGUUGUAGACUAGUCUAGUGAGAAUCAUUGUAUUGUUAUAGACUAGUCUAGAGAGGAUCAUUGUAUUGUAUUGUUGUAGACUAGUCUCGGAAGGAUCAUUGUAUUGUUGUAGACUAGUCUCGGGAGGAUCAUUGUAUUGUAUAAUUGUAGACUAGUCUAGAGGAUCAUUAUUGUUGUAGACUAGUAUAGGGAGGAUUAUUGUAUUGUAUUGUUGUAGACUAGUCUAGGGAGGAUCAUUGUAGACUAGUCUAGGGAGGAACAUUGUAUUGUAUUGUUGUAGACUAGUCUAAGGAGGAUCAUUGUAUUGUUGUAGACUAGUCUAGGGAGGAUCAUUGUAUUGUAUUGUUGUAGACUAGUCUAGGGAGGAUUAUUGUAUUGUAUUGUUGUAGACUAGUGUAGAGGAUCAUUGUAUUGUUGUAGACUAGUCUAGGGAGGAUCAUUGUAUUGUUUUAGACUAGUCUAGGGAGGAUGAUUGUAUUGUUGUAGACUAGUCUAGGGAGGAUCAUUGUAUUGUUGUAGACUAGUCUAGGGAGGAUCAUUGUAUUGUUGUAGACUAGUCUAGGGAGGAUCAUUGUAUUGUAUUGUUGUAGAUUAGUCUAGGGAGGAUCAUUGUAUUGUAUUGUUGAAGACUAGUCUCGGGAGGAUCAUUGCAUUUUAUUGUUGUAGACUAGUCUAGGGAGGAUCAUUGUAUUGCAUUGUUGUAAAAUAGUGUUAGUGAGGAUCAUUGUAUUGUUGUAGACUAGUCUAGGGAGGAUCAUUGUAUUGUUGUAGACUAGUCUAGGGAGGAUCAUUGUAUUGUUGUAGACUAGUCUAGGGAGGAUCAUUGUAUUGUUGUAGACAAGUCUAGGGAGGAUCAUUGUAGGGAGGAUCAUUGCAUUUUAUUGUUGUAGACUAGUCUAGGGAGGAUCAUUGUAUUGUAAUGUUGUAGACUAGUCUAGGAAGGAUUAUUGUAUUGCAUUGUUGUAAAAUAGUGUAGGGAGGAUCAUUGUAUUGUUGUAGACUAGUCUAGGGAGGAUCAUUGUAUUGUUGUAGACUAGUCUAGGGAGGAUCAUUGUAUUGUUGUAGACUAGUCUAGGG
rnacentral:lncRNA from 1 species